GUCACAUAUUAAACUAUGACGUGUUUGGUCAUUUUUUGGACAACAUACUAAACUAUGAUGUUUUGGUCACCUUUUAUGGGCCUUUUUCAUUUGAUAGGCUAAUUAAGAGAGUGAAAGGAAACAGGUGAGAAGAGUGGGGGAAGACAUGCAGCAAAGGGCCAUGAGCGGGAAUCGAACCCAGGCGGCUGCGUUGGAGACCAGUUCAUGGUUCAUCCGCUUAACCCAUUGAGCUAUACGGGCGCCUGGUCACUUUUUGGAUGACAUACUAAACUAUGACGUUUUAGUGACAUUUUGGAAGACAUACUAAACUAUCACGUUUUAGUGACAUUUUGGACGACAUACUAAACUAUGACGUUUUGGUCACUUUUUGGACGACAUACUAAACUACGACGUUUUUGGUGACAUUUUGGACGACAUACUAAACUAUGACGUUUUUGGUCAUUUUUUGGAUGACAUACUAAACUAUCAUCUUUUUGUCCAUUUUCGGACGACAUACUAUAGUAUGACGUUUUAGUGACAUUUUGGACGACAUACCAAACUAUGACGUUUUUGUGACAUUUUUGGACGACAUACUAAACUAUGACGUUUUAGUGACAUUUUCGGACGACAUAUUAAACUAUGAUGUUUUUGUCCAUUUUCGGACGACAUAUGAUGUUUUACUGACGUUUUGGAUGACAUAACAAAACUGACGUUUUUGGAUGACAUAUUAAACUAUGACAUUUUUGGU